rnacentral:rRNA from 1 species
UUAAUUGAAGAGUUUGAUCAUGGCUCAGAUUGAACGCUGGCGGCAGGCCUAACACAUGCAAGUCGAGCGGCAGCACAGAGGAACUUGUUCCUUGGGUGGCGAGCGGCGGACGGGUGAGUAAUGCCUGGGAAAUUGCCCGGUAGAGGGGGGAUAACCAUUGGAAACGAUGGCUAAUACCGCAUAACCUCGCAAGAGCAAAGCAGGGGACCUUCGGGCCUUGCGCUACCGGAUAUGC